GAUGAAGAACGUAGCGAAAUGCGAUACUUGGUGUGAAUUGCAGAAUCCCGUGAACCAUCGAGUCUUUGAACGCAAGUUGCGCCUCAAGCCAUUAGGUUGAGGGCACGUCUGCCUGGGCGUCACAUAUCGUUGCCUGAUGCCAGUUUCCUCGUGAUGGGUGACUGUGCAGGGCGAAUGAUGGCUUCCCGUGAGCAUUGUUGCCUCAUGGUUGGUUGAAAAUUGAGUCCUUGGUAGGGAGCGCCGUGAUAGAUGGUGGUUGAGUGACGAACGAGACCCAAUCAUGUGAGACCCCUACCGAAUUUGGCCUUCAUGACCCACAUGCGUCUUUGGAACGCUCAUGACGAGACCUCAGGUCAGGCGGGGCUACCCGCUGAGUUUAAGCAUAUCAAAAGGGAGGA
rnacentral:misc_RNA from 1 species